AGUUCUUUUCUACGGAGGCUUCUUGCUCGACUCAAAGGCAAGGGGGCUCGAGCGCUUCCCACCACUCUGGGCUUUUUGCUUUGUUUUGUCUUGUUUUUCCUGGAUACGUGGAUCCUUGUCACUUCUGUCUUUUUUGUCGUGAGGAGUCUUCUGGGGAGACAUCUGAGGGUCUAGUGGAAUGCCCUGGGAAGGGGCCCAGGCUGCAGCUUCAGCUCGGUCUUGUGGCCCUCUCUGGCCUACAUCUAGGACUCUGAGCUGUGAGAAAUCUUUGUUUCAUCUCGCCCACUGCCCAUUCCAUCGCAGCCUUUUUUACGACAAACAACACGCCUCAAACUCAGAAGAGAUUCCGCCCUCCCCGUCUCCGUGUCCGUUUGCUGAAGCCUGUCCUUGUCUCAGACGUCAUCUCCUCCAUGGACUAGUCGCUCCUCAGAUUUCUCCUAGCAUUCAGCCCGGCCUACCUUUGUCUCUAUCACCUUCUACUCUGGAUUGCAUUCAUCGCUGCGCUGGGUCUAUUAGUCUGGAAGCUUCAUCAUCAUAAUUGUCAUUAUUAGAACUACAGCUAGCCGCCUGCAUGUUACUUUAAUGUCUCAUUUUACCCUUAUUAUCUCUAGUUUACAGAUGAGGAAGCUGAGGCUGACUCGUCCAGAGCCAUACAAUCAGUUAAGCAUCUGAGGCAGGAUUUGAACUCAGGUCUUCCUGACUCCAGGUCCUGCACCACAUCCAUGCACCAUCUAGCUGCUUGAGUCAGACAUGGAAUGGUGAGGGAAUGUGAAGACCAUAGAGUCAGUUUAUGGCAGAGCCCAGAGAAGAACAGAGGCCUCCUGACAGCCAGCACUCUUCAUCAUGGGAUAGUAAUCAGCUCUCCUCUCAAGAUGAGAGCCAGCAAAAGCAAGUCGGACAACUGAGGCAACGCCAAGAAGUGGCUGAAAAGCCUGGAUGGGCCACAGUGAAGGAAGCAGGAGAUGGAACAAAGGAAGGCCACACCCCUUAUCCCAUGCUUUUCCAUGUUCUUCAGCUGCCUGCCCACAAGAUCAUCCCCACUCUCACAAUCUUUUAUUUCUCCCUAAUUAUUGGGUCUUUCCCUGCUGCCUAUGAACAUGCCCAAGUCUCCACAAUCCUUUCUAGAUCUUACCAUUCCUUUUUUUAAAAAAAAUUUAUUUUAUUAAAUAUUC